AGGUCAGAGGCUUCACGAAACCGAUCGGUCUUGAAAACCGUCGUGGCGCGAGUCACCGUGGGUUCAAAUCCCACCCCCA
rnacentral:tRNA from 2 species